rnacentral:rRNA from 1 species
GCUGGGGGAUUAGUGGCGAACGGGUGAGUAACACGUGAGUAACCUGCCCUUGACUCUGGGAUAAGCCUGGGAAACUGGGUCUAAUACCGGAUACGACCAUCUGGCGCAUGUCAUGGUGGUGGAAAGCUUUUGUGGUUUUGGAUGGACUCGCGGCCUAUCAGCUUGUUGGUGGGGUAAUGGCCUACCAAGGCGACGACGGGUAGCCGGCCUGAGAGGGUGACCGGCCACACUGGGACUGAGACACGGCCCAGACUCCUACGGGAGGCAGCAGUGGGGAAUAUUGCACAAUGGGCGCAAGCCUGAUGCAGCGACGCCGCGUGAGGGAUGACGGCCUUCGGGUUGUAAACCUCUUUCAGUAGGGAAGAAGCGAAAGUGACGGUACCUGCAGAAGAAGCGCCGGCUAACUACGUGCCAGCAGCCGCGGUAAUACGUAGGGCGCAAGCGUUAUCCGGAAUUAUUGGGCGUAAAGAGCUCGUAGGCGGUUUGUCGCGUCUGCUGUGAAAGACCGGGGCUCAACUCCGGUUCUGCAGUGGGUACGGGCAGACUAGAGUGCAGUAGGGGAGACUGGAAUUCCUGGUGUAGCGGUGAAAUGCGCAGAUAUCAGGAGGAACACCGAUGGCGAAGGCAGGUCUCUGGGCUGUAACUGACGCUGAGGAGCGAAAGCAUGGGGAGCGAACAGGAUUAGAUACCCUGGUAGUCCAUGCCGUAAACGUUGGGCACUAGGUGUGGGGGACAUUCCACGUUUUCCGCGCCGUAGCUAACGCAUUAAGUGCCCCGCCUGGGGAGUACGGCCGCAAGGCUAAAACUCAAAGGAA